UACGGGGGGGGCAAGCGUUGUUCGGAAUUACUGGGCGUAAAGGGCGCGUAGGCGGUGCUCUAAGUUAGAUGUGAAAACUCUGGGCUCAACCCAGAGCCUGCAUCUAAAACUGGAGUGCUAGAGUUCUGGAGGGGGUAGCGGAAUUCCUGGUGUAGCGGUGAAAUGCGUAGAGAUCUGGAGGAACACCGAUGGCGAAGGCAGCCCCCUGGGCUAACACUGACGCUCAUGCACGAAAGCGUGGGGAGCAAACAGG
rnacentral:rRNA from 1 species